rnacentral:rRNA from 1 species
AUUGAACGCUGGCGGCAUGCCUUACACAUGCAAGUCGAACGGUAGCAGGUCUUCGGAUGCUGACGAGUGGCGAACGGGUGAGUAAUACAUCGGAACGUGCCCGAUCGUGGGGGAUAACGAAGCGAAAGCUUUGCUAAUACCGCAUAAGAUCUACGGAUGAAAGCAGGGGACCGCAAGGCCUUGCGCGAACGGAGCGGCCGAUGGCAGAUUAGGUAGUUGGUGGGAUAAAAGCUUACCAAGCCGACGAUCUGUAGCUGGUCUGAGAAGACGACCAGCCACACUGGGACUGAGACACGGCCCAGACUCCUACGGGAGGCAGCAGUGGGGAAUUUUGGACGAUGGGCGAAAGCCUGAUCCAGCCAUGCCGCGUGCAGGAUGAAGGCCUUCGGGUUGUAAACUGCUUUUGUACGGAACGAAAAGACUCUUUCUAAUAAAGAGGGUCCAUGACGGUACCGUAAGAAUAAGCACCGGCUAACUACGUGCCAGCCGCCGCUGUAACAC